GACGAACGCUGGCGGCGUGCUUAACACAUGCAAGUCGAACGGACAGGCCCUGAUUUUGUGGGGUGCUCGAGUGGCGAACGGGUGAGUAACACGUGAGUAACCUGCCCUUGACUUUGGGAUAACUUCAGGAAACUGGGGCGCAUACCGGAUAGGAGCUCCUGCUGCAUGGUGGGGGUUGGAAAGUUUCGGCGGUUGGGGCUGGUCUCGAGGCUUAUGCGCUUGUUGGGGGGGUAGUGGCUGCCAAAGGCUUUGACGGGUAGCCGGCCUGAGAGGGUGGCCGGCCACAUUGGGACUGAGAGACGGCCCAGACGCCUACGGGAGGCAGCAGGGGGGAAUAUUGCACAAUGGGCGGAAGCCUGAUGCAGCAACGCCGCGUGCGGGAUGACGGCCUUCGGGUUGUAAACCGCUUUCGCCGGUGACGAAGCGUGAGUGACGGUAAUGGGUAAAGAAGCACCGGCUAACUACGUG
rnacentral:rRNA from 1 species